rnacentral:rRNA from 1 species
AUACUUAGGGUGCAAGCGUUAAUCGGAAUUACUGGGCGUAAAGCGCUCGUAGGCGGCUUGUUAAGUCGGAUUUGAAAUCCCCGGGCUCAACCUGGGAACUGCAUUCGAUACUGGCAGACUAGAGUAUAGUAGAGGCAAGUGGAAUUCCGGGUGUAGCGGUGAAAUGCGUAGAUAUCCGGAGGAACAUCAGUGGCGAAGGCGACUUGCUGGACUAAUACUGACGCUAAGGAGCGAAAGCGUGGGGAGCAAACGGGAUUAGAAACCCCAGUAGUCC